CACGUAGUUAGCCGUGACUUUCUGGUUAGAUACCGUCGCGACGUGAGCAGUUACUCUCACGCCCGUUCUUCUCUAACAACAGAGUUUUACGAGCCGAAACCCUUCUUCACUCACGCGGCAUUGCUCCAUCAGACUUUCGUCCAUUGUGGAAGAUUCCCUACUGCUGCCUCCCGUAGGAGUCUGGGCCGUGUCUCAGUCCCAAUGUGGCCGAUUACCCUCUCAGGUCGGCUACGCAUCAUUGCCUUGGUGAGCCUUUAUCUCACCAACUAGCUAAUGCGCCGCGGAUCCAUCCAAAAGCGAUAGCACAAAGGCCAUCUUUCAAACGAAAACCAUGUGGUUUUCGUUGUUAUACGGUAUUAGCAUCUGUUUCCAGGUGUUAUCCCCUUCUUCUGGGCAGGUUAUCCACGUGUUACUCACCAGUUCGCCACUCGCUGCUAACUUAAGUCAAGCUAAUGCAAGCAUCAACUAUCAUUAGGCGCAACUCGUUCGACUUG
rnacentral:rRNA from 1 species